AUGGCGUGCCUUGAACUAGGUGAACUCAUUGCGGGCCGCCUUCAACAAGUGCUUGAUCUUGGGCUUGGUCGGCUCAACGCCCUCGACGCGCGUCACGAAGGAGUCGAGACUGUCCUCGAUGGCGUAGGACAACUCCCUGACCUCAUUAGCCCAAAUUUUGACCUGCGGGUCGAGUUGAUCCAGGGGCACGCUGGACAGCUUGACAAGGGCUGCUUGCUGGACAGCUUGACAAGGGCUGCUUCAAUGCUCACGAGCUCGUCCUUGAGUUCUUCAAUCCCCUUCUUCACACUCCCCUUCAGCUCAUACUGCUCCAUGAGCAGCUCCCCCAACUUGGGGAGGAGAGAGCUCAUCGCCCCCGUGGCGAACUCCAUGCUCGACCCUCACCCUUUCCCCCUCACACUUUUGCUAGCCUGCUGGCUCCUCUCCACUUCUUUUUCUCUCCCUCUGUUUCUCUCUGCUUUCACAAGCUCUUCCGCGCUGGCUGUUUGA
rnacentral:rRNA from 1 species